AUGUGCCCUAGCUCUCGAGUGGCUCAGUCCUUGAGCCCUCUUCCUCAUCCUCCAUCAGCCAUGUACACCAGUGCUAGUCCUCCGUCGGCACCGCCCAACAGCGUGAGCGCUCCGCCGCCCGUGAUCGUCAUCCCACUGUCGUCCCCGUCCAGUAGCGCGAGCGCUCCGGCGGCCAUGAUCCCCCGUCCUUCGUUGGCCCCGUCCAGCAGCACGAGCGCUACGGCGGCCAUGACCCCCCGUCCUCCGUUGGCACUGUCCAGCAACGCGAGCGCUCCGGUUGCCAUGAUCCCCCGUCCUCCGUUGGCCCCGUCCAGCAGCGCGAUCAAUCCAUCGGCCGUGAUUCCACACCCUCUGGCGGUGCCGUCCAGCAACGCGAGUCCUCUACCGGCCUCCGCGCUUGGUGGUGAUUUGGUUUUUCAAAACCAUAAUUGCGAUGAAGGAGUAUGCCAUGACAUUGAAAUACAUCCUCCUCCCAUCAAUUUGGAUAGCUUCCGGACACCCAAAAAAAGAGCCACGGACGUCCCAGUUUGUAGUUCAUCAUGUACACCCAAAUGUGAUGAGAACUUGAAGCCAGCUGUAGGAAUUCCAUAUGAUAGUAUGGAAGCGGUCGAGGAGUUUUACAAGGCUUAUGCGCACAAUGUUGGAUUUUCAGUUCGAAUUGGACAGAGGAAGACUGUAGAUAUGUGA
rnacentral:rRNA from 1 species